rnacentral:lncRNA from 1 species
ACGGCUUGCGCAGAUUUCUUGAUCCGGGCGCAUAUAAAUCGCCUCGCACCCUUCCCUGCCUCCGCAUAUCAUUAUCUCAUCCGCGAAUUACACAAGCACCACGUGCCACGCAUUACUCCAGACCGGCGCUCAGAACCCAUCAAUCGGCCUCGGGUGUUCGCAUUGUUGCGUCGUGUGUGGUUGGCGCUCUUCCGUGCGGGUUUGGCGACCAAAGCUCGGUAGAUUUCUCGCCGGACUUCGUGGGUUGGCGGCGGACCGUGUGUGGUCGUGGUCGGAGCCGUCCACUGCCAGUCGCAGGUAUGUGACACCUUUAUGGUAUUCGUCGUCUCCGCCGCAUCGGUUAGGCCUUGGAAUUCGUAGGAGAUAACCACCGUGCCGCUAAUUGUGUUCUGCGCCGUGCCCCAGCCAUGGUCACCGCCGCGGUGGCCCUGGGUUCUGCCGCUGGGCGAUGUCGGGCGGAGGAGAAACAACCCUGUGCGUAGAUCUGUUGGCAAACGACCAUGAUUAGAAGUUAGGGGCUUGCCUCGGCGACUGUCUGAUCUUCAACGGAUGGAUGGGAUUAGAACAUGGUAGCGUUUCGAGUGAAUCGAUCUAGCGCGUUGAUCUGAAAGGAAGUGGUCUAGAGUCAACCGGGUAGUUUUAAAUCUUGGCCGCCGAUCGUUGAUCCGAGGGCCUGCGUUGCUUACUGGUGUAGGGUUAUGAACGAAUGAAUCUACGGCGUUGGUGGACGAUCCAACGGCCGGUAAUGUGUGCGGGUUCAUAAGUAAUCAGAUCUAAUCUGGGCACUUGAAAGAUGAUCCGAUGGGCCAGAUCACACCAUACCCCUUCACCGAGCCCAAUUAGCAUAUAAGCCCCUCAACUUCAUUAUAAUCAACCCACCGUCCACUACGGGGUUAGUCUGAGUCUAGAGAAUUUUAUACGCAAGCCCCUAUCUUCUCUGGUAUUUCGCGCGCAGUCUAGAGGACAGUGAAAACUCGGAAAUUAAUUUUGGAAAUCGAUUUUAAUACAAAAUUAAUUACAGAAACUUGUAAAAUUCAUAUAAAAUUUAUUUUAACUUCUUUUUAGCCCAUUCUAGUUUCUGUAAUUUUCUAAUAAUAUUGUUCAUCACAUAGUGUCUCUGGAUUGACAUGAAAACUGUAUUAAAAUUAAUCUCUUAAUUAAUCAUGUAUUAAAUACAUAAGACCUUCGAAAAUUCAUAACUCCUCCGUUUUAAUUCUGAAUUGACUCGUUCCAGUUGGGUUAACUUAGUAUAAAUAUUUACUACGCAGUAGCAACAUUGAUUAUAUGAUAUCCCAUACUUUUAUAAUUAUUAGGUAGCUAAUUUAAUUAAUCUAUGUUUAUUGGAUUAGCUUUUCUAAUAUUAAUAUAGUAUUCUAAUAUGAUAGUUAUAAAUUGACUAAAAGAUGAUUUACAAUCAAGUAAUGACUUAGAUUAAAGUUGAACUAAUUAUUUAUUAGAUAUUCUCUCAUAUGUUGUAUACUAACCAAUUUAUAAUAUAGUUUAACAUUUAAUCACAUAGAUCUUCUAUAAAUCAUAACUCCUUAAUCGUGACUCCGAUCCUAGUAGUUCUCGAUCCCACGAUCUCAUAGCUUCACGUAGAUUAUUAUUACAUAGUUUAUUCUUAUGUUUGGUGUGAUGUUAAUUUUGUAUAUACCAUGUUUCUUUGUAUUGUUACGACUAGCAGUGAGGUCACGAGGAUCUGAAGAUCAUCCUGGUACCUGGAAUCUCAAGUCCUAGGCAAGUUGUGCCCUUGAUCACUUUCAGUUACCCAAUAAUGUUCUUUAUUAUCACUUAUUCAUGCAUAGGCUUAAUUUUGACGGGACCCAAUAGGUCACCCUAGUCUGAUUAUCUUUUACCUUGUUUACCCCUGAAUCAUUUGGUUAGUUUUGCUAUUGCUCUAUAUGGUUUUGGGAUUAAUACUACAUUAUGUCCAUGUUCCAAUUAUUCUGUUAUUUUAUUUAUGUUCAUGUCAAGAUCAUUAUAUUAUUUUAAUUGGAACAUGGAGCUUAACUUGAGAAACACGUGCCACCACAAGGGUGGAAUGGGACGCCCUUGGCUGACUAACUAGGAAAGCUAGUGGAAGACUACCUUACCCGAACGGGGAAAGGGCAGUAGGGGAGUAGGCAUGAAGGGAGGUUCUCGGGUUGAUUUUGCUGCGAUGGCGGUCAGACGAGGGAUUCUUGCAUGUGCUCUUCCUAGAAACUGUAGCGGGUUUUCGGAAGCUAGUGGAACUUUGUAAAGGCCUCGUAGUUGAUCCCUAGCCAUUCACCUUGGUAGUGUCUAAGGGUCUAGCUAACCCUUGCGACAUGGGAUACACGACUUGUGGGUACAGGGUACAACCUCUGCAGAGUAUAAAACUGGUAUACUAGCCGAGCUCACGGUCAUGAGCAGCUUAGGACUCUCGCGUGAUUAAAUUAUAUAACUAAAUUCAAUUUAUCAUUUGCAUUGCAUGGGAUUUAUUAUUAAUUUUGUUCUAUUAUUAUUAUGGUUUGGUAUUUACUUACAUCUAGUAAUUUCUAAUAAAAUUUUGACCAACUUUAAAAGCAAUGCUCAACUUUAAUCAUUCUCUUUGGUAAGCCUUACACUCCACAUGAACUCCCACCUUUGGCGAGUUCAUACACAUUAUUCCCUACAACUUAUUGAGUUAUGAAUGUAUGUGAGCUCACUCUUGCUAUCUCACACCCCCUACAGGUCAAGAAUAGGUACCACAUGAUGAGGCGCAUGGAGCAUGCUGUGAUGUGUUCGUGAGAGAUCUAGGCCGUCGUCUCCCAGUCAACUUUGGGGUUGCUGGUUCGUUGUCUCCUUUCGAUGUAAUUAUUUAUUUUGUACAGAACUCUUAUUAUUUAGUAAAGAUGUGACAUUCGUUUUUGUACCAUGAUUCAUCAUAUGUGUGAGACUUGGUCCCAGCACACCUAGUGUUUAUUUCCGCGCUCGGGUCUUGGUGCCUCGAAACCCGG